rnacentral:rRNA from 1 species
GACGAACGCUGGCGGCGUGCUUAACACAUGCAAGUCGAACGGAAAGGCGCUGCUUUUGUGGGGUGCUCGUGUGGCGAACGGGUGAGUAACACGUGAGUAACCUGCCCUUGACUUUGGGAUAACUUCAGGAAACUGGGGCUAAUACCGGAUAGGAGCUCCUGCUGCACGGUGGGGGUUGGAAAGUUUCGGCGGUUGGGGCUGGACUCGCGGCUUAUCAGCUUGUUGGUGGAGUAGUGGCUUACAAAGGCUUUGACGGGUAGCCGGCCUGAGAGCGUGACCGGCGACAAUGGGACUGAGAUACGGAGCAGACUCCUACGGGAGGCAGCAGUGGGGAAUAUUGCACAGUGGGCGCACGUGUGAUGCAGCAACGCCGCGUGCGGGAUGACCUGUUUCGGGUUGUAAACCGCUUUCGCCUGUGACGAAGCGUGAGUGACGGUAAUGGGUAAGGAAGCACCGGCUAACUACGUG